rnacentral:rRNA from 1 species
ACGAUAUGCUUUGGGUAGCUGUAAGUAAGCGUUGAUCCAGAGAUUUCCGAAUGGGGGAACCCAACAUGAGUUAUGUCAUGUUAUCGACAUGUGAAUUCAUAGCAUGUCAGAAGGCAGACCCGGAGAACUGAAACAUCUUAGUACCCGGAGGAAGAGAAAGAAAAAUCGAUUCCCUGAGUAGCGGCGAGCGAAACGGGAAGAGCCCAAACCAACAAGCUUGCUUGUUGGGGUUGUAGGACACUCUAUACGGAGUUACAAAAGAACAUGUUAGACGAAUCAUCUGGAAAGAUGAAUCAAAGAAGGUAAUAAUCCUGUAGUCGAAAACAUAUUCUCUCUUGAGUGGAUCCUGAGUACGACGGAGCACGUGAAAUUCCGUCGGAAUCUAGGAGGACCAUCUCCUAAGGCUAAAUACUCUCUAGUGACCGAUAGUGAACCAGUACCGUGAGGGAAAGGUGAAAAGUACCCCGGAAGGGGAGUGAAAGAGAACUUGAAACCGUGUGCUUACAAGUAGUCAGAGCCCGUUUAUGGGUGAUGGCGUGCCUUUUGUAGAAUGAACCGGCGAGUUACGAUCUGAUGCAAGGUUAAGCAGCGAAUGUGGAGCCGUAGCGAAAGCGAGUCUGAAUAGGGCGUUGAGUAUUUGGUCGUAGACCCGAAACCAGGUGAUCUACCCUUGGUCAGGUUGAAGUUCAGGUAACACUGAAUGGAGGACCGAACCGACUUACGUUGAAAAGUGAGCGGAUGAACUGAGGGUAGCGGAGAAAUUCCAAUCGAACUUGGAGAUAGCUGGUUCUCUCCGAAAUAGCUUUAGGGCUAGCCUCAAGUGAUGAUUAUUGGAGGUAGAGCACUGUUUGGACGAGGGGCCCCUCUCGGGUUACCGAAUUCAGACAAACUCCGAAUGCCAAUCAAUUUAACUUGGGAGUCAGAACAUGGGUGAUAAGGUCCGUGUUCGAAAGGGAAACAGCCCAGACCACCAGCUAAGGUCCCAAAAUAUAUGUUAAGUGGAAAAGGAUGUGGCGUUGCCCAGACAACUAGGAUGUUGGCUUAGAAGCAGCCAUCAUUUAAAGAGUGCGUAAUAGCUCACUAGUCGAGUGACACUGCGCCGAAAAUGUACCGGGGCUAAACAUAUUACCGAAGCUGUGGAUUGUCCUUCGGACAAUGGUAGGAGAGCGUUCUAAGGGCGUUGAAGCAUGAUCGCAAGGACAUGUGGAGCGCUUAGAAGUGAGAAUGCCGGUGUGAGUAGCGAAAGACGGGUGAGAAUCCCGUCCACCGAUUGACUAAGGUUUCCAGAGGAAGGCUCGUCCGCUCUGGGUUAGUCGGGUCCUAAGCUGAGGCCGACAGGCGUAGGCGAUGGAUAACAGGUUGAUAUUCCUGUACCACCUA